rnacentral:rRNA from 1 species
AACGAACGCUGGCGGCAGGCCUAACACAUGCAAGUCGAACGCCCGUAGCAAUACGGGAGUGGCAGACGGGUGAGUAACGCGUGGGAACGUGCCCUUCGGUUCGGAAUAACUCAGGGAAACUUGAGCUAAUACCGGAUACGUCCGUAAGGAGAAAGAUUUAUCGCCGAAGGAUCGGCCCGCGUCGGAUUAGCUAGUUGGUGGGGUAAAAGCUCACCAAGGCGACGAUCCGUAGCUGGUCUGAGAGGAUGAUCAGCCACACUGGGACUGAGACACGGCCCAGACUCCUACGGGAGGCAGCAGUGGGGAAUAUUGGACAAUGGGCGAAAGCCUGAUCCAGCCAUGCCGCGUGAGUGAAGAAGGCCUUAGGGUUGUAAAGCUCUUUCAGCGGGGAAGAUAAUGACGGUACCCGCAGAAGAAGCCCCGGCUAACUUCGUGCCAGCAGCCGCCGUAACAC